rnacentral:rRNA from 2 species
GCUCAGGAUGAACGCUGGCGGCGUGCCUAAUACAUGCAAGUCGAGCGAACUGAUUAGAAGCUUGCUUCUAUGACGUUAGCGGCGGACGGGUGAGUAACACGUGGGCAACCUGCCUGUAAGACUGGGAUAACUUCGGGAAACCGAAGCUAAUACCGGAUAGGAUCUUCUCCUUCAUGGGAGAUGAUUGAAAGAUGGUUUCGGCUAUCACUUACAGAUGGGCCCGCGGUGCAUUAGCUAGUUGGUGAGGUAACGGCUCACCAAGGCAACGAUGCAUAGCCGACCUGAGAGGGUGAUCGGCCACACUGGGACUGAGACACGGCCCAGACUCCUACGGGAGGCAGCAGUAGGGAAUCUUCCGCAAUGGACGAAAGUCUGACGGAGCAACGCCGCGUGAGUGAUGAAGGCUUUCGGGUCGUAAAACUCUGUUGUUAGGGAAGAACAAGUANNNGAGUAACUGCUUGUACCUUGACGGUACCUAACCAGAAAGCCACGGCUAACUACGUGCCAG